rnacentral:rRNA from 1 species
GAUGAACGCUGGCGGCGUGCCUAACACAUGCAAGUCGAGCGAUCUUCUUCGGAAGAGAGCGGCGGACGGGUGAGUAACGCGUGGGUAACCUGCCUCAUACACAUGGAUAACAUACCGAAAGGUAUGCUAAUACAAGAUAAUAUAAGAGAUUCGCAUGGAUUUCUUAUCAAAGCUCCGGCGGUAUGAGAUGGACCCGCGUCUGAUUAGCUAGUUGGUAAGGUAACGGCUUACCAAGGCGACGAUCAGUAGCCGACCUGAGAGGGUGAUCGGCCACAUUGGAACUGAGACACGGUCCAA